rnacentral:lncRNA from 1 species
AAGAAUGAUUUUGACAAGCCUUUCUUCAAUGAGGUGGUUUUCACUGCUGCUUGGAACAUCUGGAUCAUCAGAAAUGGAAAGGUUUUCAGAAAUGACUAGUAAGAUCUCCGUGCUACGCUACGGAGUCACAAAAUAUUAGGUGGACUUAUAGUUAAGCGCAUGUACACUGCUACCGAAUAAUUCAGAAGUAUCAAUACAUCCAUCAAAGCGAUGCUAUAUUAUUGAUAGGUAUACAUCGAACACAAUAAACACAUGGUUCCUAACCAGUAAACCCCGUCCUUCAAGCCAAACAUUUUAUGUGGCGGCGAGCGGCAAGGCUGCUGCAGCAGAGAGUUGGGAGCGGACGGUGUCGGUGGUGUGCAGAGCAGCAGCGACCAAUGCUCCAUUUUCACAGCACGAAGGAUCGACUGCUAAGCAUAUGUAUGCCAUAAGACCGAGGCUUGAAAAAUACAGAGCAAGCAUCUAGAAAAAGAACUGACUCCCUCUGUAAACAAAUGUAAGGCAUUUUAGUUGAUGGUUAGGAUGGUGAUCAGCAGUCAAAUUAAAAUACCAAGUCUGAUGUAUUUUUUUGAUGGGUCAUUUAAUAUGCGGCAUUCAUAUAUUAUGAUCUAAACUUAUCCAUCAUGGUUCCUUACACAACCUAUGACACGCUCGUUUAGUUCCAGCCAGGCAUAUGCAACCCUUUAAAAAAAUACAAAUAUUUUGAAUAUAAUCAAACUACAGAGGAAAAAGUAAUAUACACAUGUAAUAUUCCUCUUCACUGGUUUACCCUAAAUCACUAAAUGAAGCAAACCAAUGUAUUUAACCAAUAUAUAUUAUUAAAGUCGACGAAAUAUCAAAUACAAUCAAAUUACAUUUGAAAAUUGUUGAACAGAGGCUAGGAUCUCUAUCCUCGUGUUUCAGUCAGUUAACAUGCAUUGUAGAAAGAUACAGUAGGUUUAGCGCAUAAGAAGCAACCGAUUUCCAUAGAAAUUACUUGUAGGUUACACCAAAACUUACCUAAUAUUAUGUAUUUGACAUGGCAAGUUAUUAUUAUUAAGCAUACUGACUUAACUAUUGAUACACGUCGGAUGCUUAAAAAUAUAUAACCUUAACAUUUAUAAACUCCUCGUUCUCUUACCCGAGGGCUAAAACUCAGCAACCUCAAAAGAGUAGACCAUGCUGCCAAUGCUCAAUUAACUGCCACAACACAUAGUGACCAAGAAGCUAAGACUUGUGAAAUUCCUAACACCUUGCCCAUAAGAACUAAUCGUUCCUAAUUACAUGUGAAUUUUUGUGCCACAUUUCAGAAACUUGUGAUUCUUCUUGAAGAGAUCAACCUGUUCGUGAAGUGAAAACAAUAAUAAAACAGGACAUCCAAAAAUCGAUAUUCAGAUAUGAAACUCUGCAAUUUAAUUUUAGAGGAAACAAAUUGGCGGCAAAAGGAUAAAUGUACAAUAUACAAAUAUUAGUAAGAUUUUGAACUACUGGAGCUCUAAUUAUCACAACCAAAGCAUAAGAAGACAACUCUGUCAAUUUCUCAGAUAUACAUAAAGGAGUUAUUUAAAGGAGUUAGACCUGAAUUUUGUUCAACGAAAUAGCCGAAUAGGGAUGUUAACUAUCAGACGUAUCUGUGCAGAGUAACAUCCGACGGAAGGCUUAACAGCCAGCAAGGAACAUUCUGGGAGAAAUUGCACGAAUUGUAGUAAUAUGUAGCACACUAUAUAUACCUCAAAUAGUUAUUUUUCCAUGCACUGGCACAAUUGGCAUCUCAUAUUUAAUAGCCCAUCCCGUCUUGCUGAUAUGUCCUCCUUCCUGCACUAUGUGUUCAACUGGUGAAACAGAAAUGAAUGCUCAAUGGUGCCAUUUUGUACAUAAUAAUAAAAUUUGUGGAACAAUGGUGAAACAUUGUGAACAUGUACAUCUAUCUGGAAGUAUAACCACAUCUCGCAACAAAAGAUGCAUGAAAAUAGAUGUGAAUGACAUGAGAUUACAUUGUAAUCGAACAUAGCGGACGAAUCCAUCUAUUGAAGAAGCAAGCAAGUAUUCCAUGUGGAAGAUGCUCUAACAAUAAUCAGUCAAGCUGCUUGUAGUUGUAGUAGAUAGCUAGCUUUGUACGCACAAUCAAUCAAACUGCUUAUGCUAGCUAGCUUAGCUUUGUACGUAUGGAGUAUGGACUACGCAAUAAUUGAUCGGAUUGAGAGACAAUUAUCCACCGAAGGGCUGGACUAAAACGCUUAGUAUACAUAGAAAGAAAAUGCAGUUUUGGAAGACCCCCCUUGGCCUCCACGAGGCUCCGCCAGUGCUUCACUGGAUCAGUUAAUAUGCAAGUUAUAUAAAGAAGACAUAUAUCAUCAGUCAUAAGCCAUUACCUCGUUGCAUGGGAAAUACUUAGACAUCACCUUAUGAAUGCUACGACAUGUUAACAUGAAAGUAACAGCUAUAAUAUGAAAUUCAUAAUAAAUUUAUAUCUAUUCUAGGAAAAGUCACAAAUUUGACAACUAAAGCCAUGAUGCCAAUGUUUGAACUAACCACCUUAAAUCUUCUUUCUAAUUCUACCACAAAAGAAUUCUAGUCAUAGCAUUUUUUUCUCAACCACAUUGCAUCUUCUUCCUGUGUGCUUCCUAUGCAUAAGAAAAUGUUGGACGUUUCACCUGCAGAUGCUGCUACAGUCCCAUCCAACCAUAUCUGGGUGUCAUCAUUUUCCUUAACUUCACCUGAUAUAUGGGUGCAGAUUGAUGCAGACAUCUCUACACCUAAGUUUUAGCACACCUUCUCCAUCACGUACGUUUCCCUGUGGUGCUCCUUAGCAUGUACGUUUCUCUCUGGUAGUCCUUACCAUGGACCUCUAAUCCAUGACCUGGAGCUGCACCACAAUCUUCAAACAGUUUAUUUUCGGAGCUAAGGAGCAGAAGCAAUUAGAGUAUGUUCAUAUCCUUCAGAUGUCUCAACUUAUAAUCCAUUAAUAUCGAAACAUAACUUGAGUAAUAGUGGGAUAAAUAAAGUAAAUUUAAAAUCCUCUUUUGUCUAAUUGAGUAAUAGUGGGAUAAAUACAGAAACUUUAAUUCAUGUUUUGCCUAACUGCAUAAAGUAGUAGUCGGAUCUAAAAAUCAAGCAUCAACUCCUUUGUCAUGUAAGCAUAAUGCAAUUGCACAAAGAAGCUGCUAGAUUGUUGACAAGCUAUGAGACUUUGAUACUAAACGAUGCUUCACACUCAAUACUCGUCAAUUAAUUUGUAGAAGAAACAAUUUCUUUUCAGCAAUAGGAAAAAUUGGAAGUCCAUACUUAGCUCUGCAGAAAAGGUGCCCAAUACAUAUAGAGCGUGGACAUCUAGAGCUUUGCAUAUGCAUCCUGCCUAGAUAGAUUAACAAUGAGAGCGUCAACAGAUUACAUAGAGCAUCUGACCACUGCCGAACCCCUCGCCGGUGCCCUUCUCAUCCCAACCCCGUGUGUCUUCUCGGACCCCAACCUCGCUACUCCAAGAAAAGCUCAAGCCCCCGGCUCCCCCGCCGAAGAACACUCCUGGCUCCGGUGCGGACUUCGCUGCCUUCCUGCCAGAGCUCCUCCACCGAGUGCUGUCUGCUGUUGGCAUUACUGACAUCUGGGCCGCCAGCCGUGCAUGCCACCAGACGCUAUAGGGGUAGGGGAAGGAAGAGACAGAGGUGAGGAAGGGGAGUUGUUGGGCGGCGGGUCUGCUGCAUCGGAGGAGUAGGCAGGAGAGGCGUUGGAGACUCCGCGGACGGCCGGUGCCGACGACGUACUUGUUGAUGUCGUCGCCGUAGGAGAUGGGGUAGGGGCAGGAGGAGACGAUGGGGAGGAGGGGAGGUGGAGAUGGGUGUGGCAGUGAGCCUGCUGCAGCAGAUAGGAGCUGGGAUCGGACGAUGCCGGUGGCGUGAAGAGUG